rnacentral:rRNA from 1 species
CCUCCGUCGUGGGCCCGCGUUCUCCGUCUUUCCUGUUUUUCCCGGGCGCGUCGGCGGCGGCGCCCGUCCGAAGUGAAAGCCCGGGGCUCAACCCCGGGACGGCUUUUGAAACUGCCCUGCUUGAUUUCAGGAGAGGUAAGCGGAAUUCCUAGUGUAGCGGUGAAAUGCGUAGAUAUUAGGAGGAACACCAGUGGCGAAGGCGGCUUACUGGACUGACAAUGACGCUGAGGCUCGAAAGCGUGGGGAGCAAACAGG